CUGCAGCUCAAGUGGUGACCACUAUUAUUGGGCCUAAAACGUUCGUAGCCGGUUUGGUAAAUGCCUGGGUAAAUCGUGUAGCUUAACUAUACGAAUUCCGGGUAGACUGCCAAACUUGAGACCGGGAGAAGCUAGAGGUACUCCUGGGGUAGAGGUGAAAUUCUGUAACCCUGGGGGGACCACCAGUGGCGAAGGCGUCUAGCUAGAACGGGUCUGACGGUGAGGAACGAAGCCCUGGGGCGCAAACCGGAUUAGAUACCCGAGUAGUCC
rnacentral:rRNA from 1 species